AAUGAUUGGCUUGAAUAUAAUGCCUUGAGAAAUAAAGGGUGACUAGAUGAAAGUCAGUCAAAUCUUGGACAGUAAGUGUGGAUCUUGUCGAUCGUCUUGUAGGCACCUGACGUACUUGUAGGAGUGUGUCAUGUGCCAUUAAAGCGGAGGGGAAUGCAUGAGGGCGGAAACGCAGCAAUGAGUACUUCCUGCAGGAUGGAGUCGCUGGUUACCAUACCAGUCCUUUUUGCACAUUUUUGUAGAUUAGU